rnacentral:rRNA from 1 species
UGGUAUGUACUGGCUCGCUGAUUCCUCCUUCUUGUAGAACCGUAAUGCCAUUAAUUUAGUGUUGCGGGGAAACAGGACUGUUACUUUGAAAAAAUUAGAGUGUUUAAAGCAGGCUAGCGCCUGAAUACAUUAGCAUGGAAUAAUGAAAUAGGACGUUCGAACCUAUUUUGUUGGUUUCUAGGAUUGACGUAAUGAUUAAUAGGGAUAGUUGGGGGCAUUAGUAUUCAAUUGUCAGAGGUGAAAUUCUUGGAUUUAUUGAAGACUGACUACUGCGAAAGCAUUUGCCAAGGAUGUUUUCAUUAAUCAAGAACGAAAGUUAGGGGAUCGAAGACGAUCAGAUACCGUCGUAGUCUUAACCAUAAACUAUGCCGACUAGGGAUCGGAUGAUGUUAAUUUUUUAAUGACUCAUUCGGCGCCUUACG